CCCUAGCCCCCUCUAUCUCUAUCUCUCUCUCCCUUCUCUCUCAACUGCCACCCCUUCACUGUUGCCUCUGCUGCCAUCCGCCGUUGCGGUGGGUUGUCCAAACACCCUCAAAAUUUUACUGUGUAAUCUCCAACAUCUCCUCUUUCCAUAUCUUCAAACCAAAUCCUUCAAAACUCCCUCAAACUCCACGAAUUAUAGAUCUAGGUAACCCUAUCUGCCACAUUUUUUUGUAAAUUCGUGAAGUUCCGGUCACCAUCACCCUACAACACAUACAUGAAUGGAUAGAGCUCCAUUAUGCAUACCCUUUACCCUUGGUCUCCACCCAAAACUAUAGUUGAAUUCUGGCAACCAUCUCUUGUGGCUACCACCACCGCUGCUCACUCUUCUUUUUCCUCUUAAUUUUUUCCCUUCUUCCCCUCUUGUCUAGAUAUGACUCGAGCGAGCUUUUCACGCUGGCACAAAACCGAGAUCGAAACUGGUUUGUUGAACCUUUGGUUUUGGUAUCUGCGAACGUGAAAAGUUCACUUCGUGGUCGAUUCGUCGCUGCCCGAUAUCCUUGGAAUCUCGUCGCUCCUCGAAUUAGCAUCAAAUCUCUAGCUAUGGCAAGAUCUUAGUUCCUCUUUUCUUUUUCUGAUUUUUUUUGUUUUGUGUUAAGUUUGGAUUUAGUUAAUUUAGGUUCUUAUUUUUUUUUGUUUUGAUUGUUAUUAUUAGUAUAAUAUUACUUAUUGUAUUAGUGCUUAGUUAGUGUAUAGUUGGGUUUAAU
rnacentral:lncRNA from 1 species